rnacentral:rRNA from 1 species
AACGCUGGCGGCGUGCCUAAUACAUGCAAGUCGAACGGCUUUUCUAUGGAAGCUUGCUUCCACUGAGAAGAUAGUGGCGAACGGGUGAGUAACACGUGGGUAACCUGCCCAUAAGAGGGGGGAUAACAUCCGGAAACGGGUGCUAAUACCGCAUAGUUUUCUUGAUCGCAUGAUUGAGAAAGGAAAGACGGCCUUUGUGCUGUCGCUUAUGGAUGGACCCGCGGCGUAUUAGUUAGUUGGUGAGGUAACGGCUCACCAAGACGAUGAUACGUAGCCGACCUGAGAGGGUGAUCGGCCACAUUGGGACUGAGACACGGCCCAAACUCCUACGGGAGGCAGCAGUAGGGAAUCUUCCGCAAUGGACGAAAGUCUGACGGAGCAACGCCGCGUGAGUGAAGAAGGUUUUUCCGGAUCGUAAAACUCUGUUGUCAGAGAAGAACAAGUUGGAGAGUAACUGCUCCAGCCUUGACGGUAUCUGACCAGAAAGCCACGGCUAACUACGUGCCAGCCGCUGC